AUACGUAUCCAGCAGGGAAAUACCACGAUAAAGAUGGUGGUUUCCCCAGGACUGGGCUCUUCAGUUGCACACUUUGAUUGGAAUAACCCCUGUAAUUUUCCUAAAGGUGGUAAACUCAACCACAUAAUUUUUAGUACCGUUGUUUAGCAUUUUGCUUGGUUGUU